rnacentral:lncRNA from 1 species
CCCAUCCAAAGAGCUGUGAUGUCCUUGCUGUUGCCGCCGCCGCCGCCUCAUUCCGCCGCGCACCAGCCCUGGGGGCGCCGGCUGCGCGGAGCUGCCCAAUUUCACCCCUGUCUCGGGCUUCCUGGAGGGUCCUGUAGCUCAGGGCAAUGACUAAGGCGCCCACUUGGUAACUCUGCCAUCUUCCUGCUCCUUUCUCUUCCCUCCCUUCCCCGCCCCCUGUAGCUACCCCCGUUCCCCUCCACCACCCUCGAGCCCUCCUCCCAGACGCCCACCCACCCGCUCCUCUUUCCGCAAGAUCGCAGAGGUGGCGCGGAGCCCGGCAAGCCGAUGACGGACCCCUUCCUCCAGUCUUCAAUGCCUCAGCGGAAGAUCCCCCAGGGCUGGAGAGAGGAUUGCUGCUGGACAUCCUCCCUGGGAGGCUGCUCCGACCUGCUGCUCGUGGUGUAUGAGACUGGGGACUGAGCGAGCCCCAGUCGCCGCCGCCGCCCUCUCCGUCGCUGCCGUCGGUCGGGACCGGCCCCCGCCUCGCUCCGCCCGCCGCCCGGCCCCGGCCCGGCCCCGGCUCCGGGCGCCCCGGGGCUCGCCCCGCGCCCGCCGCCGCCCGCGCGCCGACUGCCCGCCGCGUCCUUCUGACAGUUGCGGCGGUGGCGAUGAUGCAAAGGAGGAGGGUGCUGCCGGCGGCGGUGCUGAUGGUGGCGAUCCGCGCCCGGGUGUGAUGCGAGCGUCAUGGUGGGGAUGCUGGCUUCGCGGCGGUGAGAGCGAGCGAGAGCGAGAGCGAGCCCGGGGCGGAAGACGGACUGUUGGGAUCUGGCUGCUGUGUGGGCUCCAUCUCUUUCUCGCCUCUCUCGCGCGCUUUCCCCCCUGUAUUUUGUUAUUGGCUUGCAUAUUUAACAUCUCUGGACUCCAUCCUCUCCCCCACCACUGAAGUCUUCCCGUCUCUAAAUGGAAUUAGUGGAGAUCGGAGCCUCUGGUGUAAGGAACAGACAUGAUCUAUGGACGCAGUUUGUUUUACAGUGAGUACCUUUCCCGCCGCUCGGCCGGCUCCCCGGUGCCAUUCCUCCCCUCCCCUCCUCCCCGCCAAACGCGCAGGGGAAAAGCCCAGCCGAUGCGCUCCAGCUGGACCCCGCAGUCCAGUGAGUCUCGGGGCAGAUGUAAACUUUCUGUAUUGCAGCAUCAUAGAGCCGGGAGCGGGGGCGGCGCACAGUCAGGCCAGGAAAGACAGGCUCUCCGAGGGCAGGAACCUCCGGGGUCCAGAACAGUGUGCAGUUCAGAGAAGGGCACGUGCGGAGCGGCCGCAGCCCCAGAGAGGGCGCAGGUGGAAAUAGCCAGGGAGCAGGGUUUAUACUUGAUGGGACCAGAAGAAAUACUCCUCUGCCUGGGGCUUCCGCAGCCCAGACUCCCAGUCCCAUGGGCAAUCUAAGGCGCUGGAACCCAGGGCUUGGGGCGAAUGCCAACUUCCACUCUCUUCUGUCCAGUAGACCUAACGUUGCUUUAGAGUGUGGUGAAGCAUGCAGUGUGGGUGGGAGGAAGUGGAGGAAAACGGCAUCAAAAGUCGUUAGGCAAGAGGCAAGGUAAAAUGUGUGGUGGCAAUUUCACAUUAUAAAGCAGGGAUAUUAGAGUGUUAAUCCUGUGCCACGCAGUGAAGACUAGCUUUUCCCUUUCAAACAUAGUAUGCGUUCAAUAGUGUGAUUCCGUGAAAACACCGAAAGCAGAGUAAGGAAAAUACCAGAUGUGCACCCUGAAAUUGUGGAUAGUUGCCUCUGUGGGGUGUGUGUGUGUGUGUGUGUGUGUGUGUAUGCAGAAUCAUGGCGAACUAAGGUGAUUUUUGCUACUUAAAUACACAAAACAAUGAACACGACAAAAGCAACCACCAAUGUUUUUAUACAGAGUAAAGAUGAUCUUCUUAGAACAUAAAGUAAUACAGUUGACACCUUCUCGAAUAUUAUAUCAGGGCCCAGAUGAUUUUCUUGGAUUAAUAUUCAGGCAUAAAUUCCUAAGCUCCUGUACUGAAUUUUAUUUUAGGAUAUUAUUAUGAAUUAUACUCUUCCUCCCUAAAUUCAUUUUAAGUGGAAAUAUGAGCAUGUAGACCUUUUAUGUAAUUCAGCAUCAAUAUAAAUAAAAAGAAACUAGUAAAGAAAAAUUAGAAGUUGUGACUACUAGAUGACUUUAAUAUCUUGUAAGUUUUAGUUUUUUUUUUAAACGUUGAGCAAAUCAAGAGUAUAGAAGUAAAACAGAAGUUUAGGUUAAAAUACUGUUGCAGAUUUACAGUUAAAUUACAGACCAGUGUCUCUGAUCCAGAACAAAUGACUCAAUAAAACACAUAGAUAAUAAAUUUCAUAGCCCAAAAAAGUGCUUGGGACAGGGUUACUUGGUGAUUCUGUACAUUUUUGUGAGACCUUUUUAUAAUACUGCUUAAUACCUCCAAUCCACACUCAUCUGUUUGGCUUGAUCUUCCUCCCCCCUUGCCCCAUUGGAUUAAGGAAGUGUUUAUGUUCUAGAAUGCAGCCACAUUGGCAGUGUGUUAGGAUCAAUCAUGGAACUCUUCCUCUUGUUUGUCUCUUUUCUCCUUUUACAUGCUGUCCCUGUCUCUUCCCUUAGACAUGCUAGCAAAACCCUUCAAAUAGGGUAGUUUAAUAACAGCCUACAUCUUGAAAUCUCACUGUAACUUGUGUAACAAUAGUGGAAUAUAAUGUUACCUCUUAAUAUUGAACUAUGCUUUGGCCUUAGGAGCUUGGGUCUCAUCCAUUCUAAGUAUGCAUUACUUCCUUUAGGUAUUCCCAAGUUUUUCCUCUGCACAUUCUAAAUUGGUUUUUGCAAGUUCUGAAUCAACUGGUAACAGUUAAUAAUAUAAAACUACUCUACUUUGGUAUCCUUUUAUCUUUAAAUGUUGUUCUAUGCUCUUAUGAGAUUUGGUCAUUUCAGAGUAUAUGAUCUCUUUCUAUUUUCUCUUUAUGUUGCAGUUGCAGCAAGUUUAAUCAUCCUCCAUUUGUCUGGGGCAACCAAGAAAGGAACAGGUAUGUUUCCUUGAAAAAAAUGCUAGUGGAAGAACUCUAAUUAUUUGCAUUUUCCUGUAUUCCCCAUUCUCUUAAUAUUCCAGAAUAUCUGAACAUUUUAUAGUGUGUAUAAUUGAUUGGUUUUAGCUAAGAGAGCAUUUCAAAAUUAAUUUGCUAAUGGAUAUUAUAAGAAUGUCCUCUCUAUUUUUAGUAUUAUAAAAAACUGGAUGAUGGCUUUAUUUAUUUAUUUAACAGAAAAACAAACCACCUCAGAAACACAGAAGUCAGUGCAGUGUGGAAUUUGGACAAAACAUGCAGAGGGAGGUGUCUUCACCUCUCCCAACUACCCCAGCAAGUACCCCCCGGACCGAGAAUGCAUCUAUAUCAUAGAAGGUAAGGACAGGGCCAGAGCCAGGG